rnacentral:rRNA from 1 species
UACGAAGGGGGCUAGCGUUGCUCGGAAUGACUGGGCGUAAAGGGCGCGUAGGCGGAUGGCACAGUCAGAUGUGAAAUUCCCGGGCUUAACCUGGGGGCUGCAUUUGAUACGUGUGAUCUAGAGUGAGGAAGAGGGUCGUGGAAUUCCCAGUGUAGAGGUGAAAUUCGUAGAUAUCGGGAAGAACACCGGUGGCGAAGGCGGCGACCUGGAUAGGUACUGACGCUCAACUACGAAAGCGUGGGGAGCAAACAGG